UGAGGAAUAUUGGGCAAUGCCCGCAAGGGUGACCCAGCAACGCCGCGUGGAGGAUGAAUGUCGUAAGAUUGUAAACUCCUGUUAGAGGGGAAGAAUAGUACCGGUUGGACCGGUAUAUGACUGUACCCUCAGAGAAAGCCCCGGCUAACUACGUGCCAGCAGCCGCGGUAAUACGUAGGGGGCAAGCGUUGUCCGGAUUUACUGGGUGUAAAGGGCGCGCAGGCGGGAUAAAAAGUCAGUGGUGAAAUCCUACAGCUUAACUGUAGAACUGCCUUUGAUACUUUUAUUCUUGAGUGCGGGAGAGAGAGACGGAAUUCCAGGUGUAGUGGUGAAAUACGUAGAUAUCUGGAAGAACACCAGUUGCGAAGGCGGUCUCUUGGUCCGACACUGACGCUGAGGCGCGAAAGCGUGGGGAGCAAACA
rnacentral:rRNA from 1 species